AAUAUUUUAAAAAUGGGGAAGAAACAUAUUUUGUUCAGGGUAGGUUGAAAUGAGCAUGUUUUGGACAUGUUAAUUGCCAAGUAGACCUUCAAGUAGGCAAUUAGAUCUAUUUAGAGGCCAGAGAUUUUAAUUGGGGUAUAAAUACUGCAUGUUCUCAUAUAAAUGUAGAAACUAAAAUAAUUGAUCUCCCAGACGCAGAGAGUUGAAUAGUGGUUCCCAGAGGCUGGAAAGUUGCGAGGAUGGGAAAGAUGGAGAGAAGAUGGUUAACAAGUAGAGGAGUGCAGCUAAAUAAGAGGAAUAACUUCUAAUAUUUUAUAGCACAUUCAGGUAACUAUGGUUUACAAUAAUUAUGUGUUUCAAAAUAGCUAAUAGAGAGAAUUUUGAAUAUUUCCAACACAAAAACAUAAAUGUCUGAGGGAAUAGAUAUAUAAAUGACCCUGAUCUGAUCAUUACAUGUAUAUAUAUAUGUUGAAAUGCCACAUUGUACCCUAAAAAUAUAUGUGUAUGUAUACAAUCACUAUGUGUCAAGAAAUUUUAAAAUAUUUUUAAAAAUGGGUGUCACUGACAUAUAGAUAAUAUAUAAAGCUAUAUGACUGGUUAUGUUUAUACCUAGGAAAUGAAUGUAGACAGAGGCAGCUUGGGGUUGAACCCAGGGUCUAGGAGGGGGAUGAUCUGAAGGAGGAGAAAAACCAAAAGAGUGUUCUAGAAGCCAAUGGCAGCAUUCCAUGGAGAAUGAAGUGAGUGGUGGUGCUGGAGCUACUCAGAGACUUAGAAGAAUGGAGUUGGACCUCAGUGGAGCAAGAAGGGCCUGUAGCUGAGAGUGAAACCAGGGAGAGUGUUUUGGAAUUUUGGGGAGAAAGAGUGGAGGGCGAAAUGGCUAGCAGAAUGUAGUCAGUAUGCUGAGCCUGGAAUUUUGUGAUCAUAAAUUUAACAUGAGGCCAGGCUACAAGGGCAGGAUCUUUCUCCAGCCAUCUGCUCAAAUGCAAAGGAAGAAAUCUGGAGAGACAAAAGGCAGGCAGAGGGAAGCUUGAAAUUGAAAUUUUGGAGAGAGUGCAGAUGUUGGUAAUGAUAGAGUGUUAUAGGUUGUGAUUAUGAGUGGGUGACUAUAAAAACCCGUUGUUUUGGGUCUCUGGUGGAUAUGCCAGAUUAGUAGAGGGGAAAUCCAGAUCACUGAAGGGAGGGAACAAGAAACUAAGAGGCCUGGGUAUGGAUGGAUCAUUUAAGAAGAUGUUAACUUAUCAAGAAAAAUGGCAAAAUUGGACGCAGCGUGGGCAACAAGACAGGUUAUAAAAAUCUUCAAUGACUGAAAGGGAGUUACCAUACUUUAGUCCAUUUUCUGUUACUAUGACAAGCUGUCAGAGUCUGGGUAAUUUGUAAAAAAUAGAGUUUGUUUGUCUCACAGUUCUCAUAUCCCAAAACAUUGUUCUGGUGCGUGCUUUGUAUCUGGUGUGGGCCUUGUUGCUGUAUCGUAACAUGGUGGAGGGCAUUGCAUGGUGGGACACAACAAGUGUGCUAACUUUGAGUCUUUCUUCCUCUUCUUACAGAGCCACUAAUGCUUCCAGGGGGUCCCCAGGUUCCCACCCUCAUGACCUUCUCUAACCCUAAUUAUCUUUCAGAGACCUACUUCCAAAUACCAUCAACAUGGGAAUUCAGGGAUGAGGUCUCCAACACAUGAACUCUUGGAGAAUACAUUCGAACCAUUGCAGAACAACAGAUAGAUGCAUUCGAAGAGAGUAGUAGAAUCUGAUGGCAAAUGUUUCCCAGGAUUCAAGUGAUUGUCAUUAUUGUUUUUGUUUUGCAUUGUUUUAAAUAAAGUAGGAGGAACAAUAGUCUGGAUGCAGCAAUGUCACUCUAGGACAGUGAAACAUGACAUGGCUCACACAGAAGAGAAAAUGACCACUAAGGAGAGGUACAGGAAUUUAUGCCCUGAGAGUGACAGCCAUGUUCCAGUGAAGUAAGAAGGCUGCUUAGGUCCUCCAGGAUCUAGAUGAAGCUGAGCUGUUCUUGUCAUGGAGGAAAUCAGUAUGAACUUAGUAAAAUAGACAACCACCAAGAUGCAGAUGUACUUCAGUUAGAAUGAUCCUGCUCAACACCAGUGGUAGAUAGACCUGCUUCGGAAAAACCCCUGAGCUGAUCCAAUCUCAAAGUGUUACAAGUGAGUAGAAAACAGGGCAAGCAGCCUGCCACGGUCACACAGCUGUCCAUGACAGAUUCUGUUCUAAAACCCAGGAGGUUUUCCAAUCUCCAGUCCCCAAUUUCUAUUUUACUUGCUCAUCACUUAUUCUUCUGCCUUUUCCACCUCUGUCUGGAAUAUGGUUUCAGUGUUAGGAGCUUGGUCCCCAGGGUCACUUUAUUGGGGAGGUAGUGGGCCCUUGAAUAAGAGGGGCUAGUGGGGAGGUCCUUAGAUUAUUUGGAGGCAUGCCCUUGGAAAGGGGUUAGUUAGUUCUGAGAGAGGGUUAAAUAAAAACCCCACCCAGUUUCUCUAGUUUUCUGUUUGGCAGUGUAAUUUCUUCUUCUCACGCGUGUUCCUGCCAAUGCCAUCUGCCAUGAGGUGAUCCUAGCCAAGAAGAGGUCCCUUAUAGAGCCUGUGCCGUACACAAUUUGGACUUCCAGCCUCCAAAGCUAUGAGUCAAAUAAACCUCUUGUAUUUGUAAAGUUAA